rnacentral:lncRNA from 1 species
UGUAAAGAAGAAAAAGUUGUGUGGAAUGAAAAGACACAUGCCAAAAAGGCUGGUCUUUAUAGUACAAUCCUCAUUUAAUGCGUGGAAAAGAAAGGUCGCAAAUGAUAGCUACGUGGACAGUGUAGUGAAAGUUGUUAGAGAACAGUGUGAUAGUUCCUCGGAAACGAGGCGUAAGGUCGAUUUGCCUCUCCUUAGGGAUGACAGUUCAGAUCUUCUCUCAUCCAAAAUAAAAAAGAGAGUGAAGUAAAGAAUUAGAAUUUUUUGGAAUUAUCACCCUCGAGUCUUGAAGGUAGAACCCUGAAGGUAUAAGCGAGUGAACAAAUUCUACAUGGGAAACAACCCUGAUUGUCGAAGCUAUGAUGUCCUAAUCCCUGAGAUCAUGGGCGAAGCUAUCUUCGUCCAUCUCGAUCACCGAAACCUUCUUUUUAGAAAGAAGAGUAGGCACUUCUUUGUAAUCCAAGGCUAGCUGAUCUGCAUGAUCGACCAUGGUGUGGGACUUGGCAAUCUCUUUGUCAAGAUUGAAGCCUUUCAUACGAGCUUUUUUAAGAAUCUCGAGCCGUGUGGUCAUUAGCUGGUCUGCAUGAUCGACCAUGGUGUGGGACUUGGCAGUCUCUUUGUCAAGAUUGAAGCCUUUCAUACGAGCUUUUUUAAGAAUCUCAAGUCGUGUGGUCAUGGCAUCACGAGCCUUUCUCGAGUCAAGGCGUUUCUUCCUAAGUUUGGCCUUCUUAGUCAAAGUGUCGAUUUUCCUUCAAAGGAUGGACCUCAGUCUGGGAUGAUUCCGGAGGAGUAUUUGCAAUCCAGAGGCGUGAUGCUGCACUCGCCAAGUGCUGGGAUUGUUUUCUCCUAAGCUUCUUAAUCUUAGUUGCCUGCAUUGCGUUCUCACGCCUCAAGAUUUCUGUUUGUUCAAACUAGCGAUGAGCGUCCCAGUGGAACCCUUCUCUCUCACUAGAACCACGUCUUUCUCAAUGCUCAAUGCCUAAAGUUUGGAAGCUCACUGUGCAAGGGCUUGAAAGGAGACAGGCUGGUCUCGC